rnacentral:rRNA from 1 species
UACAGAGGGUGCUAGCGUUGUUCGGAAUCAUUGGGCGUAAAGGGCGUGUAGGCGGUUUGUUAAGUCAUGUGUGAAAUCCCUCGGCUCAACCGGGGAACGACGCAUGAAACUGGCAAGCUAGAGUACCAAAGAGGGGGGUGGAAUUCCCGGAGUAGCGGUGAAAUGCGUAGAUAUCGGGAGGAACACCUGUGGCGAAGGCGGCCCCCUGGUUGGAUACUGACGCUGAUACGCGAAAGCGUGGGGAGCAAACAGG